rnacentral:rRNA from 1 species
UUGCCCCGAGAUGAGUUCUCCCUGACUCCUUGAGAGUCCUGAAGGAACGUUGAAGACGACGACGUUGAUAGGCCGGGUGUGUAAGCGCAGCGAUGCGUUGAGCUAACCGGUACUAAUGAACCGUGAGGCUUAACCUUACAACGCCGAAG